rnacentral:rRNA from 1 species
UACGUAGGGGGCAAGCGUUAUCCGGAUUUAUUGGGUUUAAAGGGAGCGUAGGCGGACUUUCAAGUCAGUGGUAAAAUCGUGUGGCUCAACCAUACCUCGCCAUUGAAACUGGAAGUCUGGAGUGCACACAGGGGUGCCGGAAUUCAUGGUGUAGCGGUGAAAUGCUUAGAUAUCAUGAAGAACUCCGAUCGCGAAGGCAGGUGUCCGGGGUGCAACUGACGCUGAGGCUCGAAAGUGCGGGUAUCGAACAGG